GUUGGCUCAGUUGGUAGAGAAUGAGACUCUUAAUCUCAGGGUUGUGGGUUUGAGCCCCACUGUGGGUGGACCA
rnacentral:tRNA from 1 species